rnacentral:misc_RNA from 1 species
CUCCCUUUCGGCUUUUUGUGCCUGCAAAAGAUACAGGACAGGAACUUAAUGCAUGUCUCCACAGAAGAGCAUGUUCAGAAAGGUAAAAUCCACUAAAAUAGAUGCAUCUUUGACUUGCAGAGGAGAGCAAACAUUUUAAAGAAAAUUUGGCAAAAAGCCCUUACAUAAAGAUUUUCUCUUUGUUAAAUAUAGCAGUUUCCUUCACAUAGAACUAGAAGUUACCUAAAUGCAUUGAAUCUCUACAUCUUAAUUUUACCAUAGGCUUAAAUUAUAAAUGAAAGGCAUAUUCAAUUAUUCAUUGUUGCAUUAAAUUAAUGUGGCAAGUCCUUGAGUGUCAUCCUUUUUUGACCUAAACAGUACAAGUCAAGACAGCUUUUACCUUCAAUUUGCAUGUUAGUUAAUUGCAGUCGCAGGUAUAGCACUAGGAAUUGGAACCCUUAUCUAAGCUAAACAGAUGGGCUUUGAUUCAAAUCCAUUGGUGAAUCCUAUUCAGCAGAAAAUGGAGUUACUUUUGACAGAAUAGGACAAUUUGUUUUUCACAAAUCACAAUAAAGUGAUAAAUGAGUCUGAUAUUAGACGUAUUAUUAGCCAAUUAAUAAUUAUUUUGGAAAAGCAUAUACACCACAAAUCCUGGAUCAAGCAAAGACUAACUUUCCAUCAAAUGACUAGUGGUGGUUAUGAAAAUAAGUGAUACUACCUGAUUCUGAAAAAAAUAUAAGAAAAAUGAUACACAACUAUCUCAGAAGCCAUCAAACUGCUGAAUUUGACUCUCCUAACCAGAACAAGUGAACCAUCCAAAAAGAUGUCCAAUGAAUGUUGUCGCAAAAGCAAUCUAAUUCAAGCACAAGGUUUAGAAGUGAAUGUGUGACAUAAAGGGAAAACACAGAAAAUUGGCCGUUCAAAAGGAAGUCUGGCUUGGAGGGUUAAAACUUGAAACCUUCACAAGGCCAGACAACUUCAACUUUAUAAUGUCCAAGACAAACCUAAUAAUUAACCAGUGGAGCUGAUAUGCAUUUGUUUCCACUCACCAUAUAGGUACUUAAAACUAUAUAGCAUUUUUCCUUGAAAAAUAAAAAAAUAAAAAAAGAAUUCCUCACUUUUCCUGACAGAACUCAGAAGUUAACUAAUAUGCUAAAGAAAAUUAUAAACCUGAGAUAGAACAAGUAUUAGAGCAAAUAUUACCACUUUACAAGACUAAUAAAUGACAUUUUUGGGCACAUCUUCCAAAUAACAAUCAGCAUGAAAGGCACGACAGCGCAUAUAAAGAUACCCGUACACAAUUGGCCUUUCAUUAAACAAUUGGCAUAGUAUGCGUUCUGCAAGAAUCUUAUCCUUAAAAAUACUGCCAUUAUUGUUCUUUUUAAAUAAAUCCGUACACUAACAGCAACAUUUUAAAGUAAGAUCCAUAUUCAAUAUGCUCAAAGAACAUGCUAACAGAUACUCAUGUUCAUACAGCCACAUCCUUGAGUAUACUUUAGGAGUUGCUGUGUCCAGAACCUUUGUCCACACAAACAUGUCAUACCACAACACCUUUUCGCAUGUCUAUAAUCACUAAAAAUUAUUAACAAUUAUUUGUAGACUCUACACCAGGAAACUGUAAGCUAUGAGAAUUAUUAAUACAACAAGUGCACGUUAAUGAUGCAUCACAAAAUCUAUCAAAUAAUAACAGAAACACUUAGCUAAUGAAAUAAAAGGAAACAGAAAUACAACUU